GUCUGACCUCGGAUCAGGUAGG
rnacentral:rRNA from 1 species